CCUGCUCAGAUUGAACGCUGGCGGCAGGCCUAACACAUGCAAGUCGAGCGGCAGCGGAAAGUAGCUUGCUACUUUGCCGGCGAGCGGCGGACGGGUGAGUAAUGUCUGGGAAACUGCCUGAUGGAGGGGGAUAACUACUGGAAACGGUAGCUAAUACCGCAUGACCUCGAAAGAGCAAAGUGGGGGAUCUUCGGACCUCACGCCAUCGGAUGUGCCCAGAUGGGAUUAGCUAGUAGGUGAGGUAAUGGCUCACCUAGGCGACGAUCCCUAGCUGGUCUGAGAGGAUGACCAGCCACACUGGAACUGAGACACGGUCCAGACUCCUACGGGAGGCAGCAGUGGGGAAUAUUGCACAAUGGGCGCAAGCCUGAUGCAGCCAUGCCGCGUGUGUGAAGAAGGCCUUAGGGUUGUAAAGCACUUUCAGCGAGGAGGAAGGCAUCAUACUUAAUACGUGUGGUGAUUGACGUUACUCGCAGAAGAAGCACCGGCUAACUCCGUGCCAUGCAGCCGCGGUAAUACGGAGGGUGCAAGCGUUAAUCGGAAUUACUGGGCGUAAAGCGCACGCAGGCGGUUUGUUAAGUCAGAUGUGAAAUCCCCGCGCUUAACGUGGGAACUGCAUUUGAAACUGGCAAGCUAGAGUCUUGUAGAGGGGGGUAGAAUUCCAGGUGUAGCGGUGAAAUGCGUAGAGAUCUGGAGGAAUACCGGUGGCGAAGGCGGCCCCCUGGACAAAGACUGACGCUCAUG
rnacentral:rRNA from 1 species